AAUCUGAUAUGCUGUUUUACCUGUUUUGGUUGCCGAUUACAUGCUUCGUCUAUCUCGAAUGAUAUGCUAAUUACAUGUUACAGGUGCUAAUGUUUGGUUUUUUUUUUAAAGUAGAUAAAUUAAAAUAAAACGGUUAAUAUGGUGGGGUAGGACCAUCCUCCAUUUCCAGUGAUUCUACCUUUUAAAGGAGCAUCCUCCAAGGAACUAUGAUGUGGCGCCUACGUGGCGUAUCAUCCUCUAAGGAGGACCAUCACCAUACCGCAUAGCCUAAGAAAAGGCCCUCCUGGCUCCAAUUUGCCGGCAAUCUAUCGUUCAGGUUUCAAGUGUGUAAAGUGUAACAAAUCAUAUUCAAGUAAAAACAUGCAUCUCGAUCUUACACUAAUUGCUGGUGCAAAAGAAUAUGUUGAAGCUCAACCUUCUCGGACUGAGUUAUUUCGGAGCCCACUUGUUUCAUUUUUGUAUGAACGUGGAUGGCGUCAAAAUUUCAACCUUACUGGCUUCCUGGUCCCGAAGAGGAGUUCAAGAUGGCUCAAGAGGACUUCAAGCCAGCAGGUGGAAUUUUAGUGGAUGUUAGUUGUGGAAGCGGUUUGUUUUCCCGCAAGUUUGCAAAAUCUAGGACCUAUUCAAAAGUCAUAACUUAUUUGUUUUCCCGCAACUGAA